rnacentral:rRNA from 1 species
UACGUAGGGGGCGAGCGUUAUCCGGAAUUACUGGGCGUAAAGCGCACGCAGGCGGUUCGCCAAGUUUGGAGUGACAGUUGUCGGCUCAACCGACAAAGGACUUCAAAAACUGGUGAACUUGAGGACGAGAGAGGAGCAUGGAACUCCAGGUGUAGUAGUGAAAUGCGUAGAUAUCUGGAAGAACACCAAUGGCGAAGGCGGCUUCCUGGUCUGCGACUGACGCUGUGGCGCGAAAGCUAGGGGAGCAAACGGG